rnacentral:rRNA from 1 species
UACGAGGGGGGCGAGCGUUGUUCGGAAUUAUUGGGCGUAAAGCGCGCGCAGGUGGUGCGGUAAGUCUGCCGUGAAAUCUCCCGGCUCAACUGGGAGGGGGCGGUGGAGACUGCCGGACUGGAGGGACUCAGAGGCCGGUGGAAUUCCCGGUGUAGUGGUGAAAUGCGUAGAGAUCGGGAGGAACACCAGUGGCGAAGGCGGCCGGCUGGGGGUGCCCUGACGCUGAGGCGCGAAAGCGUGGGGAGCGAACCGG